rnacentral:tRNA from 1 species
GCCCCCGUAGCUCAGCUGGAUAGAGCGGUCCCCUCCUAAGGGACAGGUCGUACGUUCGAAUCGUAUCGGGGGCACCA